UACGAAGGGGGCUAGCGUUGUUCGGAUUUACUGGGCGUAAAGCGCACGUAGGCGGUUUGUUAAGUCAGGGGUGAAAUCCCACAGCUCAACUGUGGAACUGCCUUUGAUACUGGCAAGCUAGAGUCCGGAAGAGGUAAGUGGAACUCCUAGUGUAGAGGUGGAAUUCGUAGAUAUUAGGAAGAACACCAGUGGCGAAGGCGGCUUACUGGUCCGGAACUGACGCUGAGGUGCGAAAGCGUGGGGAGCAAGCAGG
rnacentral:rRNA from 1 species